rnacentral:tRNA from 1 species
GUCCUGAAAGCUUUAGCGCUGAACUUUUAAUUCAGAGAAGGGAAACCUCAGGUCA